rnacentral:rRNA from 1 species
ACGUAGGGUGCGAGCGUUAAUCGGAAUUACUGGGCGUAAAGCGUGCGCAGGCGGUUUGUUAAGUCAGAUGUGAAAGCCCCGGGCUCAACCUGGGAACGGCAUUUGAAACUGGCAAGCUGGAGUGCGGCAGAGGGGGGUGGAAUUCCACGUGUAGCAGUGAAAUGCGUAGAGAUGUGGAGGAACACCGAUGGCGAAGGCAGCCCCCUGGGCCGACACUGACGCUCAGGCACGAAAGCGUGGGGAGCAAACAGGA